rnacentral:rRNA from 1 species
GACGAACGCUGGCGGCGCGCCUAAUGCAUGCAAGUCGAACGAGCAAUCCCCGCUUCGGUGGGGUGCGCGAGUGGCAGACGGCUGAGUAACGCGUAAGCAACCUACCCACUGGCGGGGGACAACCCGGAGAAAUCCGAGCUAAUACCGCAUGUGGUUGCUUCACCUCGGUGGAGCAACGAAAGACUUCGGCCACCAGUGGACGGGCUUGCGUCCUAUCAGGUAGUUGGUGAGGUAACGGCCCACCAAGCCGAAGACGGGUAGCCGGUGUGAGAGCACGAUCGGCCAGAGGGGGACUGAGAACGGCCCCCACUCCUACGGGAGGCAGCAGCAGGGAAUCUUGCGCAAUGGACGAAAGUCUGACGCAGCGACGCCGUGUGGGGGAAGAAGGCCUGCGGGUUGUAAACCCCUUUUCUAGGGGAAGAAGUUCUGACGGUACCCUAGGAAUAAGCCUCGGCUAACUACGUGCCAGCAGCCGCGGUAAUACGUAGGAGGCUAGCGUUGUCCGGAUUUACUGGGCGUAAAGGGGGCGCAGGUGGCUGAGUAGGUCCGUGGUGCAAGCUCCAGGCUUAACUUGGAGAGGUCUACGGAAACCGCUUKGCUUGRGGSCGGUAGAGGAGCACGGAAUUCCGGGUGUAGUGGUGAAAUGCGUAGAUAUCCGGAGGAACACCUGAGGCGAAAGCGGUGCUCUGGGCCGUUCCUGACACUCAGGCCCGAAAGCGUGGGGAGCAAACUGGAUUAGAUACCCAGGUAGUCCACGCCCUAAACGAUGGAUGCUAGAUAUGGGGGGUAUCGACCCCCCCCGUGUCGUAGCUUACGCGUUAAGCAUCCCGCCUGGGAACUACGGCCGCAAGGCUAAAACUCAAAGGAAUUGACGG